CUCUCCUGUGCUCUACAGCAGCCCCAAGCCCUGUGGGAUUGUCCAGCCUUUCAGCACUGCAGAGAUCCCAGUUGUAAUCGAAGUGCAGACAGUGGGCGAGCAUCGCACCAACAUUCUCGUCGGCGUGUUCGGGGAUGCGAGACACCCACGGGGAGUAGAAUUACGGAGCACUGGAUGGCUGGAUGAAAUCUACCCAAGUCCAACUCUGUUAGAGUUUGGCAGGAUCCCAGCUCUACAACCCGCUUCACAAAGCUUUACCCUCUUCAGUGAAUGUCUCGUCCCUGUAGCCUUCAGGGUAGACAUUGCUUCCAAAUCCUACUGCUUUGUUGUUGAACCCAGUGAAGGAGUGAUCCCUGCUAGGGGUGAGGUUCCUGUGACUGUCACAGCAACCCUGGAUGACACUGUGGGUUUUGAGGACUCUGUCCAGCUGUUCAUUAGGAACCGCCUUUGGAGCACUGUCUAUCUCCAGGCUUUCGGCAUUGGCACCACAAUUGUCAUAGAUGAACCAUUCGCCCCAGAGCUCAAC